GUUCCCUGGAACGGGACGCCACAGAGGGUGAGUGCCCCGUCUGGUCGGACACCAAGCCUCUGUAAAGCUCCUUCGACGAGUCGAGUAGUUUGGGAAUGCUGCUCUAAAUGGGAGGUAUAUGUCUUCUAAAGCUAAAUACCGGCCAGAGACCGAUAGCGCACAAGUAGAGUGAUCGAAAGAUGAAAAGCACUUUGGAAAGAGAGUUAAACAGCACGUGAAAUUGUUGAAAGGGAAGCGUUCACGACCAGACUUGGGCCGGUUGAUCAUCCAGCGUUCUCGCUGGUGCACUCUGCCGGUCCAGGCCAGCAUCAGUUCGCCCCGGGGGAUAAAGGCGGCGGGAAUGUAGCUCCUCCGGGAGUGUUAUAGCCCGCCGCGCAAUACCCUGAGGCGGACUGAGGUUCGCGCUCUGCAAGGAUGCUGGCGUAAUGGUCGUCAACGA
rnacentral:rRNA from 1 species